UAGAUUAGCAAGGCCCAUAGUGAGAUACAACAUAGAGGCGGCUUACGGAAUUAGGGGUUCCAUUAUCUUCUUCGAUCUGCUCGGACCAUAACCAGCAAAAGAGAUAUACUAUGCCGUCUCAGCCGAAUCAUCUCGAAGAGAUUUUAUGUCGUGUUGCAAUUUCGUCUUUUGGUCUUCAUUGAUUGAAUCCUCAGAGAUGGUACGUUUUGUCUGGAUUUAACGCUUUUAUGAAUCUUCCCUAACUCCAUCGAGAACGACGUCCUCAUUCAAUGAAUAUCCUGCCAGAGGCGGUAUAUCUCAGCUUAUAAAUAUGUGGCCACCGUUCUCCUAUCGUCGAAGUGAGGCUUCUGAGAUUUUGGGAAGCUAGAACCUUCAAACGUGGUGGGGAGUUGAUGGGGUGGAUAUGCCUCUCCUUAUGCCAAGGUUUUCCGAUCUUUGACAAUUUCACGUUCAGUUUCCUUAAAGUCGGUGCAUCUGAAGCUAUAUAUAUAGGCUAAAUCUCAGAAACAUGGAGGCAGAGCAGGGGGCAGAGGAACUGAAAAGUCUCAAUCAUAAUAGGGUUGAACUUGAGAGGUUACGCCGAGCGGAUGGUCAAUAGGGAGAAGUUAGAACGAGAGUUGGCUAUUUCCUCCCAUGAGAUACUUGCUGCCAGAAGGGUUCACGCUGCACGUUUAGUACUGGUCCGUGAUACAUUUCUCCUCUCGAAGUUUUGUCCGACUCAGCGACAACGUCAACAAAAGAUUAUCGAGAUAGUAAUAUAUCCGGCAGGGAAGCAAUGCAGAGCUCAGAUGAUAUCACCAUCAACAGCACAGCCUCUGUUAAGCGUCUGAGGUAAAGGUCCCAUUGUUGUGAGGAAAACUUAUUGUUCUCUCCUCGAUCCAUCCCUUGAAGAACACACAGCUUCCUCUCUGUGUGUUUCCUCUUCCAAACUUUUUUUUAUCAUACUUUAAAUUUUUAUCUUUCAACAGGUUCAAAUAUGUUGAUACGAAACUGAGGUGAACUCAGGGCAAAUAUAGAAAGCAGAUGUGGAAAAAUCAAAGAAAUGACUUUUUAUAAAAUGAUCAGAUUGUUGCAGUGUAACAGCGUUUUCCUACUGUAAAACAUUGCAGUAUCACAUUCACUGUUUAUCAUUUUCUAUUACUCCUCAAGCUUUUUUUUUUUGCCAUUGAAAAACUAUUUACUUAGUAAACUCAAAGUAUGCUUCUAAAUUUUUAUGUCUUUUAAGGACGACUGGUUUUUCCGCUAUUUUUGAGUCUAAAUCAGAAAAACCUCCGAGCAGACCUGUAUAACAAUGUAUGUGACGCCGUUGAAACUGGCGAUGCGGAUGCUACACAAGUUGGUAAGAAGAUCAUCCUCCCUUCGUCCUUCACUGCUGGACCCCGGUACAUGUCUGAAAAGUAUUAGGACGCAAUGGCUAUAUGCCGUUGGUAUGGGAAUCCUCAUCUCUUUAUCACUGUCACUGCUAAUCCUAAUUGGGUGGAACUCAGUAACCAUCUUGAUGCGUAUGGAGGUGAUUCCGCUAAUAGCCGACCUGACCUAGAAUGUCGGAUCUUCAAAAUCAAGCUUGAUGAGAUGAUGGCAGAUUUCAAAAAGGGAGAGUUCUUCCCUACGCUGGACGCAGGUAAAAAAACUAUAAAUAGACUUACAAACGCAACUUUUGUGGUUGGUAGCGGUUGUCGGCGGUUUGCAACAAUCAUUCAAAUCGCUUUAAACCGUUUCAAACCGUUCCGAAUUUCAUAAAUUCAAAAGCUGGCUCCAGAGUUUUCCGCUACCAACCGCUUGAAAUUCUCGAGAGUUUUGGUUUUUAUUAAAUAUCUAAUGUUUAUAAUAUUUAUAUGCUAAAAUAUACAUACGAAAUAUAUAAUUAAGAUUAAAAAUUAAACAAAAAUCCCGGGCUAUCCUAGUCUAUUAUAUAAUAGUGUUUGCCUUUUUUCGAAGGGGUCUGCGUCAGAUGCCAAAUCACAAAUUCGAAGCUUCAGUAGUAGACACGUGUCCCUCUCCUCUAAAUACUCUGCGUUUCAUUAAGUAACCAACGACAUUUAUUGGGUUUAGUUGAGUUUUGGUCUUCACGCUUUACUCAAGUGACCGAGCCCAAUAUUGAGUAACCUUUAUCUCCUCUACCGCGUCUGAUCGAAAUUUAGGGUUCGUCUAUUGGUGGAUUCGAUUAGGCCGGUUGAGAUUCUUCUUCAUUAGUCGAAAUGCUUCCGUUUCAUCCCAUUUAACCUCUUCUUAACUCGAACAAUCACUAUAUAGCCAUCAAUGUGAAGUUCCGUCUUGCGAGGCGGUGUAUCUGCCCGUAUAAAAAGGUCAGGUUUCCUCCUCUGAAAACCAUCUCCUCAAUCCCUCAAAACUAACCAUUAAACUUAUUUUCUGAGAACUGGCUAGAGCAUCAAUUUUCCUUUUUGAUUUGAAGACCGAAUCGACGAUGCUCCUCCACCGUUGAAUUGCGGUUGAUCCGUUUCUGGGAGGCAAGGAACGUCUUGAGGCGGUGGCAAACUCAGGCGAGUGGAUAAGCUCAUACUGGAUUCACAGGCAACCAUUGCUGCGACUUGCUUGCUUGGAAAGCCUGCAAUGAUAAUCAUGACAUACCAGAAGAUGUAGAUAUAUCGUUGUAAAUCGAACCUUCAACUUGAUCACUUCUUGACGGUUGUAACAACUAUAAACGCAAGACGGGUCAAAGCAGAGAAUAUAUGCACACUCAUCAUGAAGUACGCAGAGAACCGGUUGCCACUAAUCGAAGAUGAUUUGGAAAUAAUACGAGGUUACACCGUUACAGGUCAAGAAACAUUGAGUUGCAGUUCAAUGUUGAACGAGAGAGAACAGAGGAAAGAAGUUUAGAAUGUUAAGAACAAAAGCUUAGUAACAUGUGCUUCAUACACAACCUGGAACAGUACCAUGCCAGUUUCUGUUGAGCUAGGCUCGCAUAUUUCGAUGGUGACUACCGGCCAAGCGCAGCAGAGGAUCUUAUACAUAUACCAAAUAAGUCAAUAAGAAGAUGGCACAAAGAGAAAGAAGAAAGCAAUGAUCAAGAAAACAAUUACCAAAAAGGCUCUAAAAGCUUCUGCACAGACUGAUUUAUCUGGGAAUGCUUCCAAGGAUCUGCUGCAAAUGCAUAAAGUAAUCUUUACUUUCUAUAAAGUAAUUUAUUAUCUUUUUUGUUCGUUUGUUUUCCUUUUGCGACAACUGAGGACUUUAUUGCUGUCCACUUGCAAACUUCUUGCACAUAUUGCUGUGCGGUGAUGGUAUCUUGAAUCGUUGGGUAUGCAGUCGGUGCAAAUACUGUCAGAUUUGUGAUAAGUGUUAUGAGGCUAUACAGAGGCGUGAAGACAUGAAGACAUCCUGUUAAUUUCAAUAAUACACAUUCAUUAUAAACCGAUGUCCAAAUAUAUAGAAAUUUUUUUGUAAUGCUCAGGUUUAAUUAUUAGAAUAUGAUAUUUUUACUAAUUAGAGUUACAUUUUUCAAAUA